rnacentral:pre_miRNA from 1 species
UCUCAUUCCCGGUUACUCACUCAACCUGGGUGUGAUGUGUGCACUAGUUGCUCGGCCCAUCACAACCUCCUUGAGUGAGCGAUCGUGGAGGAGG